CCUACGGGUGGCAGCAGUGAGGAAUAUUGGUCAAUGGGCGCGAGCCUGAACCAGCCAAGUAGCGUGAAGGAUGACUGCCCUACGGGUUGUAAACUUCUUUUAUAAAGGAAUAAAGUGAGGCACGUGUGCCUUUUUGGAUGUACUUUAUGAAUAAGGAUCGGCUAACUCCGUGCCAGCAGCCGCGGUAAUACGGAGGAUACGAGCGUUAUCCGGAUUUAUUGGGUUUAAAGGGAGCGUAGAUGGGUUGUUAAGUCAGUUGUGAAAGUUUGCGGCGCAACCGUAAAAUUGCAAUUGAUACGGGCAGUCUUGAGUACAGUUGAGGUCGGCGGAAUUCGUUGUGUAGCGGU
rnacentral:rRNA from 1 species